rnacentral:rRNA from 1 species
UGUCAGCAGCCGCGGUAAUACGGAGGGUGCAAGCGUUAUCCGGAUUCACUGGGUUUAAAGGGUGUGUAGGCGGGCUAUUAAGUCAGUGGUGAAAUCUCCGAACUUAACUUGGAAACUGCCAUUGAUACUAUUAGUCUUGAAUGUUGUUGAGGUGGGCGGAAUACAUCAUGUAGCGGUGAAAUGCUUAGAUAUGAUGUAGAACACCGAUUGCGAAGGCAGCUCACUAAACAACGAUUGACGCUGAGGCACGAAAGCGUGGGGAUCAAACAGGAUUAGAUACCCUGGUAGUCCACGCCCUAAACGAUGAUUACUCGACAUACGCGAUACACAGUGUGUGUCUGAGCGAAAGCAUUAAGUAAUCCACCUGGGAAGUACGUUCGCAAGAAUGAAACUUAAAUGAAUUGGCGG